AAAAAUUGAAGUUUUUUUAAUUUGUGCAGAAACAAUUAUUUAUAUUAAAGACAAGAAGACCCUAUGAAUUUAUUAAAUUUUUAUUUAAUAUGUAAUUACUAUUAGAAAAAUUUUGGCUGGGGCGGCUAGAAAAUAUUAUAAACUUUUUAAAAAUAAAAUGAUCCAUUAUUAAUGAUUUUAUGUUAAAUACUCUAGGGAUAACAGCGUUAUAUUUUUUGAUAAUCUUAUUGACAAAAAA
rnacentral:rRNA from 1 species